UACGAAGGGGGCUAGCGUUGUUCGGAAUUACUGGGCGUAAAGCGUGCGCAGGCGGCCUUCCAAGUCAGGGGUGAAAGCCCCAGAGCUCAACUCUGGAAUUGCCUUUGAGACUGUGAGGCUUGAGUACGGGAGAGGUGAGUGGAAUUCCCAGUGUAGAGGUGAAAUUCGUAGAUAUUGGGAAGAACACCGGUGGCGAAGGCGGCUCACUGGCCCGAAACUGACGCUCAUGCACGACAGCGUGGGGAUCAAACAGG
rnacentral:rRNA from 1 species